GAAUCACCAGGAGGCAAGGAUCCUCAACUACGUUAUUCGGGCACCUUGAGUUGAGAGGAGCUAGUGGUGCGCCCGGCCUGGAGAUCA
rfam:Deinococcus gobiensis I-0, complete genome.